CAAAAAAUAUUGAAUCCGCCGUUUAUUAUCAAAGAAAAGAGUAGCGGCAGACCUUGGAAAUUGAUAAGCUAAGAACGAAGCUCCUCCUCCAAUACCCAUCAGCCAUACACACAAACACAUACAGAAGAGAGGACAAACAAAGGGACCUCUAUUCUUCAUCCUCAAAUUCGUGAAGCACUCACCCACACCCCUAUUUUUGGGGCUCUCAUCUUUCUAACCAAGAACACCUCCCUUUACGCACAAAAACGCAGCUGCAACACCUCUGAACAACCACCAAAAUGAGCAAAUUUUUAGCUGCAAAAACCACUCAAAACCAGCUCCAGAACAUCUCAAAUCCAGCCUCAAACUCAAUUAUUAAUCACCUUUAAACCCAGCAAAAUCCAGCCAUGAACUCCAAAAAAUUACAGGCUGCAAAAUAGUCCUAAAAAUUAGCCUUCCACCUCCAAACACCAUCGCUAAAGUUGCUGGAUCGGGUCGAGAUCAAGUUGAGGUCCAUGUCGGGGUUCUCGGGUCGAGGUUUUUGUUCGCAAUUUUGGUGGUGUUGUCGCAUUCCAUUUCUACUAGCUGAACAACUAUUUUGUUGAAUAAGAUCUUGCUCAAAUAAAGGAAUUUGGAGGAUUGGAGCUCAAUGAAGAAAUCUAAUUAAAAAAGAAGUAUUCCAGCUCAAAAAGGCGAAAAGGAGAAAUACAAGCAGAAGUGCGGUCCGCAAAAGUAAUUCUUCGACCGCAGAUGAUCAUGCGGACCGCAGAUGAAGCCUUGAAGCCUCUAACGAAUUUUGUAGAAGCGCGGUCCUCACACCAAAUUGUGCGAUCGCAAAAGCUGGUCGCACUGACAAAGUUUGACAAGAUCAGAGAAGGUGCAAAAGACCAAGUGUGAAGCCUCUUGAAAAUGCGAUCCGCAACCAAAUUGUGCGGCUGCAGAAGCGGAAGUGCAGCUAGAGAGAUAAUUUUACCACCGCAAAGUUCCUCCUAUUUCAAGAGAAGAAGAAAAGUGCGGUCCGCAUAUGAAAUUGUGCGGCUGCAGAACCUCCCGAAGGACAUUUUUAUCAGUGAAUUUCUGAAUACUAUAAAUAGACAAGAAAUACUUUUCUGGGGCAGCUUUUGUCUUCCUAGCAGCUGUAGUAGUUAUAUUUUAACCUUUUGGGAAAGUUAUGAUCAAAAUUGGAGAAGACCCAUUACUUUUAUCUUUUAAUUGUAGUUUAUGUCUUUAAUUGCUUCUUCUAUUGUGUUUUCUAUGUCUUCUAGCAUGAGUAGCUAGGUUUUAUCUAGGGUUGAGUCAGUGUAAAACUUAUGGGUUGUUAAGAAUAAUGCUUCUUUAUGAUUAGGUAUU